GAAUAGGGCUUCCGACAUUCGUCACACCGAAGGUGUUCCCAUAGUGGUGAGGUCACCGCAGCAUCUCGUUCCCUAUUCAGGGAACCAUGGUUACAUACGGUUACAAACUGAAUUCUGAAUAAAUUGCCAUCCAUAGGAGAGCGCGAUCGGCAGACGGCUGCUGCUGAUCAGACAGCCAAUUUAGAGAGACCCACUCAUUGACUCAACGGUCAGGUUUUUUUGCCAGAUUCAUUCAAGUGACGCACAUGGAUCGGAAGUCACGCCCGACCUGGAGUUGAAGCCUUCCGGUUGAAUUGGGAUUGGAUGUUUGCACCCUGAAACCCCGAAAGAUUCCCAGCGUACGUUGGGUGGCGAGCCACGGACCCACGAGCAUAAGUCUAUGCGCAGUCUCACUUCCCCUCCUUCACGGAUUGUGUGGUAGGAUCCACGAGCACUGGCAUACUGAUACUGUCGCGACACUGAUUCAACCAAAGAAAAAAAAGGUCCCCAACGAGCAAUAAGACUAUUUUUGGAACUGGGUUUUAUUUAUUUUGUUUUAAGUGAAACUUAUGCCGGCUUUAUUAUUUUCUUUUUUCUUUAUGUACAUUCUCUGAACUAAAUUGUUACACUGUUUGUUAUUGUUCCUGUUGUUAAACAAAGAGUGAUCACAAUAACGCAAAUUACUGUUUUCUGUCUUUUUUGAUGUCAAAGCACUGGCUCUUAAAGAUUUAGCAUCUUCUGUUACUGGUCCAAAUACUAUUAAAGAUAACUAAUUACCUGUUACCCUGUUACUAUAGGUCCUUCUCAAAAAAUUUGCAUAUUGUGAUAAAAGUUCAUUAUUUACCAUAAUGUAAUGAUAAAAAUUAAACUUUCAUAUAUUUUA